rnacentral:rRNA from 1 species
AGUGAACGCUGGCGGUAGGCCUAACACAUGCAAGUCGAACGGCAGCACAGUAAGAGCUUGCUCUUACGGGUGGCGAGUGGCGGACGGGUGAGGAAUACAUCGGAAUCUACUUUUUCGUGGGGGAUAACGUAGGGAAACUUACGCUAAUACCGCAUACGACCUACGGGUGAAAGCAGGGGAUCUUCGGACCUUGCGCGAUUGAAUGAGCCGAUGUCGGAUUAGCUAGUUGGCGGGGUAAAGGCCCACCAAGGCGACGAUCCGUAGCUGGUCUGAGAGGAUGAUCAGCCACACUGGAACUGAGACACGGUCCAGACUCCUACGGGAGGCAGCAGUGGGGAAUAUUGGACAAUGGGCGCAAGCCUGAUCCAGCCAUGCCGCGUGGGUGAAGAAGGCCUUCGGGUUGUAAAGCUCUUUUGUUGGGAAAGAAAAGCAGCAGGUUAAUCCCGCGCUGUUCUGACGGUACCCAAAGAAUAAGCACCGGCUAACUUCGUG